AUACUGUGUGUGUGUGUUGUGUGUGUGUGUAUACACACACACACACACACACACACACACACAAACAGUAG